UAGAUUCGUCCGCCAAAGUGAUCGCAAGUGAAAACGCAGUUUUCCACAAUCGCGACGACGAGCCGGUUUUUGUUCUCAGUCCACUGUGUACAGAGAUAGGGAAAAUUGUCUUUGAGAUUGGGUGAGAGAUUUGUCUGUGCAUGAGUUUAUCUUAUUUUUGGGAGAUUUCCCACGACGAGAUAUUCGGGGUGCUCGAUUUCGCGACAUUGUGUGCCCCACGAAGAGUUGGCCUCAGUCGACAGUGAACCACGUCUAGUGUGAGAAGUUUGCCUAGAAGUACCGUAGUAAUUUUUCUUGCGAGCAGCGAGCGUUCUAACCGAGCGACCGAUCAUCAUCGAUCAAGAAGGAAAAUCUUGACCGGCGGGUGGAAAAGUGUGCCCAAGCGCGCGCGGUCGAAAGUUUCGCACGCGAAGGUGUGUAGCUAGUAUUCUUUCUAUUGGUAGAGGAUUGUCGUGAGCCGCGGUGUGUUGUACGUGAUCGCAGUUUUUGUGGUCCAACGCCCACCAAAACUUUUGUCGACCUACGGUGCGCCGAGCGUUCUGCUAUCGACUCCCCCACUUGCCCAUACUGCAUUGGGGGGUUUUGCGAUGGAAACCGACGACCAAUUUCGUCAUUAUAUAAGUUUUUAUGACACAGUACUCAACCGUUUUUGAACAGCCUCGACGACACGGCUGAACGGGCAGCAAAAAUAAAAAAAAAACUUCCAACAAUUUGUCCAAAUCGCAGCACCAGUCGCCGCAGGGAGGAAGGAAAACAAUAACCAGAUGUGUGAAAUUGUGGCCAACUGGACGGGCUAGAGUGGAGCUUGUGCAAAAGUGAAAAUUUUACCGUAUCAAAAAUCUCCGAAAUAAAAUCAGUCAUUUCGAAAAAGUGCUUCUCGGGAGUGAAAAGAUAAUUUUGUACCCCAAAUUGCCAGGAAAAGUGCCGUUGGUGACGGCAGCGGCAAGGAAAAGUCACCCGAAAGUAACCGUGAAAUGAGUCAGCCAGUCAGUUAGUUAGUCAGUCAGUCAGUCAGCAGCAAAGCAAAAGUGAGUGAGUGAGUGAGGGCUGGCUGUCUCCGAGACAGUUUUUCCCUAUGAAAGAGUACACAAAUUAUAAAUCUUCUUGCAAGUCUUGAAUAAUCGUAAGUCGGACACGACGGCGGCACGGCUUCGAGCAGGCAAUCUCUAUCGGGAUCAGACACAUUUCGAGUUGCGUCGCGGAAAAGCCUGGGCCAUAAGCGGCAAGUGGCUAGUGGCAAGCGGCAGCAGCAGUGGCUGAUUGUAGCGGUUGGUAGUAGUGGUAGCGAAGAAAAAUAAAUCGGGGAUACCCAUCGUCAUCGACGUCAUUAGAAGAAUCAUCGCGCGGAUGUGGUGCCAGCGGUUGUGCUGGUGGAGAAGAAUCAGAAUCAGUUUGGCACUGUGCAAAACCGUGCAACCUACCGACUAGACAGUGAGUGUGCGUGUGUAUGUGUAGGCGCAGGGAAAACUGACAACGUGUGGAAAACUUGAUCCGACGGCCGAUUCACCCGAUGGAGAAGGCGGCUUCGUACACGGCUUAGGACGUGCCGGGCAUGCUGUCCGAUAUGACGGUUGAAGCAUAAAUCAUAUUUCGCGAGGAGAUUUGAUUGCAAAUAUUCAACGCAACAUUGUUUGAUAAAGAUUAACCAGAGGAGCGAUUCGUAGUUUUGUUAAGUGUAAUGAAAAUACAUAAAAAUUCAAGUGAAACAUUUGAAAAUUGUAAUUCAAGAGUGUCUUUAAGUCAGAAAUAUGCAAAGUGAUUGUUUUCUUCAUGUAUGCAAGAAUGCAGCAUAUUCCCGUCAUAAAUGUAUAAUGUCUCAUCUAGAGCGAUAGAGAAGAAAAGUAGUUUAAAGUUAUUAUUAAUUAGCUAAAUUUGUCCCUCUUCACGUUUCGACGCACGUUCCGUGCUCGGAAGAACCAUGAAGAAAGUACUGGACAUGCGUCAGUAUCGAUCAACGAAAAAGUUCAAAUUAAUAUUGAAAAUCCGAGCCAACCGCUACCGUGAGGCACCUUAGAGGAUCGUGAUCCACGUGUCGUGUUAAGGAUCCUGUCUCCACUAUUUGCCGUCCCACUAGACGGACACUAUCGGUCGAGCCGCACAGUUUGUAGUUUGAUAGGUUGGGCCCCGUUCCUGUUAGAAGCGGUUGGUGCUUAGAACCUAGGCAACAACCCCAACAUCUGAACACCGGACGCCAUGUACUUGCGCAAAUGGAGUCCCAUUAAAUAUUUAAUGUACUUAUGGCUAGCAAUUCUCGUGUGGAUAUUUUGUCGGUGUGAAAGUGCCGCCACGAUGCACUUGGCCCCGACCUCGUCCUACGCCAGUAGCAGUAGUAUCAUUGGUAGUAGUAGCAGCAGCAGCAGCAGUAGUAGUGAUAGUAUAAAUAGUAUAACGGAGCUGUUUGCCAACGGAAAUCGCAAUCAGGUAGUGGCUGCGGGUCCCAGAGGUGAUGCUAGCGAGUUAGUGGACUCCACGAGUCCGUACCAGUGGCAACCACCGCGAUGGCCAUUCACACCGGAAUCGACCACUCAGCGGCAGCAAGUCACUUCACGACUCUUUACCAAAUUGGUUGGAAAAACUGCCAGCAACAGCGCACGCCGAUGGACGCCAGUUCAAGUGGCGGACCUCUCGAGCUAUCGACCAAUUAACUACGCUAAUCGUGUGCUUGUAGAAAAUGCCAAUAAACAGCUGAUUAAUCCCACAUACUUGAGAGAACAUCAACAACAACAACAAAAACAACAGCAGCAGCAACUGCCGAAACUGCCAGCUAGCCUAAGUCAGUCCAACACGAACCAAGAUAGUCCGAAUAAUAAAAAUAAUAAUAAUAAUAACAGCAAAAUCAACACUAGCAGUAGUAGUAUUAAUAGCACCAGUAGUAGCCGCAACAUCAGCAGUAGUACUAGUAUUAGCGAUGAAAGCGUUUCCUUAGCUGAGGAACGGCUACAGCUCCAAUGGAAGCUACGAAUGAACCAAAAACGAGCGCGUCGGCUGGCGCAUCGCAUGCAGCUUGGUGCAACCCCCGGCGACGCGUUAAUCCUUGCAAAUCGCAACCGACGAGACUCGGCCCGUCUCACCGCUGCGGCCACCUUCAGUAGUCAUCAAGCGCAGCGGCGACUUGGCCCAGGAGCUGGAGGACCUGGUAGUGGACCAGCUCGUCGCUACUGCUCGGCCCGAGAUCCGGCCACGUUGGCCUUUGACGCACCGGUCGUGUUCGAGGGUAAGGUCAAAUCGAUGAGCAGCGAUCGGAGGGCCAACUUUUCCGUGACCUUCGAAAUAGUGGCAGUCCACAAGAAGCACACCCGGUUCUACCUGCCGAACAAUGUGCGGCUGCAGUUCACCUAUCGGAACUUUAGUGAGUGCGACAUCUACCGCGAAGUGUACCGCGAGCGGGGCAUAGUGCGCGAAGAACUCGAGCAGGGCAAAGUGUACUUUCUGUUCGUGAAGCAGCUCGAUCUGGGCAAUUUCUCCAUCCUCGGUCAGCCGAUCCGGAAGACCAGACGCACCACCAACGGGGUGCUGGAGGGGGUUAGUGAAACAUAUGGUAAACCACCGGCGAUCUAUUCCAUCACGCCGAACGUGACGCGGCAGGAGGGCAAACGGGUGCGUCUGGUGUGCAAAGUGCGGGGGCAGCCGCCGCCGAAGGUGACGUGGUUCAAGGACAAGCGUUCCAUCAACCGGAACGUGACGAAAUAUGCUCAAGUACACCUCAAAAAACGAUCCGAACUCAUCAUUCAUUCUGUGAUCCCCAGUGAUGCUGGAGAGUACGAGUGCAGAGCUAAAAAUAAAUACGCCAAGAUUUCCAACUCGACGCACGUUCGAAUAACGGCCAAACAUUCGAGCACCAAGCAGCCAAAAACGACACACUCGACGGAACCUCCGUACAAUCCGCGACCGUGCCGGGGGCCGGGUGCAGAGCACUUCUGUCUGAACGGCGGCACCUGCAUUCACUUCGAGGAUCUCCAAGAGUGGGCAUGCACAUGCCCCAAGGGUUUCUCGGGCAACAAGUGCGAGAACAAAGACAUCGAUUACCAUCCGACAACGUCCAGUAAGCACCAGGACUGCUCUUACGGUUACGGAUAUGGAGCUCCCAGACGACCAACUCCCUUUUGUGUGAAAACCAUUCAGUCGAGGUUUACCGCGGAUCGAUUUCACCGAGCAAGCCAUCCCUUAGUUUAAGGUUCAUAUUCAAUCAUACGUUGCACAAUGAGAUGAAGUAUUGUUCUAGAUGGUCAUCCCGAGUGUGCAGACUUUUUGCUGAUGGACUCACCGGUAGCGAUGCCGGUUAUGCCACCACUCUACGAUUACGAGGACGAUAGCGACAUCUAAGCCCGACAUGUGAUAUAUCAGCUCCUUUAGUCAUUUGGAGUCAGGAGACUAUAAGCGAACAAAAAAAAAAUGAACAAGCUAAUGAAGCAAUGCGAUUGCGAACCGAAAUAUUUAUGUGUAGUAGUCCCUAAGCCACAACUGCAAAAGCAAGAUCUAUGUGUAUGUACUUUCAAUGAAAUUCCAUUCGAUUUAAGUAACUCUGUGUAUAAUAUAGUUCAAUUUCAAUUUCACUCACAUACAUGCAAAUUAAACAAAUAAAAAAAAUUGUUUUUAAACUGAGCGAUAAACAAAAUGUUGAAAAUACCAAAGAUGUAAAUAUCAUUGUAGUAGUUGUAAUAAAUUAUUGACUAAAAAUAAAGCUGGUGUAACUUUACUGUUGAA